UACGAAGGGGGCUAGCGUUGCUCGGAAUUAUUGGGCGUAAAGAGCUCGUAGGCGGUUUGUUGCGUCGGCUGUGAAAUCCCGAGGCUCAACCUCGGGUCUGCAGUCGAUACGAGCAAACUAGAGUGUUGCAGGGGAGACUGGAAUUCCUGGUGUAGCGGUGAAAUGCGCAGAUAUCAGGAGGAACACCGGUGACGAAGGCGGGUCUCUGGGCAACAACUGACGCUGGAGGAGCGAAAGCGUGGGGAGCGAACAGG
rnacentral:rRNA from 1 species